CCUACGGGAGGCAGCAGUAGGGAAUCUUCCACAAUGGGCGAAAGCCUGAUGGAGCAACGCCGCGUGGGUGAAGAAGGUCUUCGGAUCGUAAAACCCUGUUGUUAGAGAAGAAAGUGCGUGAGAGUAACUGUUCACGUUUCGACGGUAUCUAACCAGAAAGCCACGGCUAACUACGUGCCAGCAGCCGCGGUAAUACGUAGGUGGCAAGCGUUAUCCGGAUUUAUUGGGCGUAAAGGGAACGCAGGCGGUCUUUUAAGUCUGAUGUGAAAGCCUUCGGCUUAACCGGAGUAGUGCAUUGGAAACUGGGAGACUUGAGUGCAAAAGAGGAGAGUGGAACUCCAUGUGUAGCGGUGAAAUGCGUAGAUAUAAGGAAGAACACCAGUGGCGAAGGCAGCUCUCUGAUCUGUAACUGACGCUGAGGUUCGAAAGCGUGGGUAGCAAACAGGAUUAGAUACCCGAGUAGUC
rnacentral:rRNA from 1 species